AUGCACAUUUGUUUGCUGUAUCCUCUAAACAAGGAGCAGGAGCUCAAGCAAGCAGAACCACCGGAGCUGAAGCAACUGUUGGCUGAAUUCGAGGAUGUCUUUGGCGAGCCACACGGACUCCCGCCUCGACGUGCCUGCGACCACACAAUACCAUUGAUGCUAGGGGCACAACCGGUCAAUAUCAGAGCCUACCGCCACAAGCCUGAACUGAAGUCGGAGAUUGAGCGACAAGUGCAAGAAUUGCUACAGUCCGGAGUGAUCCAGCGCAGCCAGAGCAGUUUUUCUUCACCAGUCAUCCUCGUCAAGAAGAAGGACGGCACGUGGAGAAUGUGCAUCGACUAUCGCCAUCUUAAUGCGAUGACUCGCGUCAGUAAAUUCCCGGUGCCUGUCAUUGAGGAGUUGCUCGAUGAGUUACACGGCGCGCGUUGGUUCUCCAAAUUGGACCUCCGCGCAGGCUACCAUCAAAUCAGACCGGCUGAAGGCGAAGAAUUCAAAACAGCCUUUCAAACUCACUCGGGCCACUACGAAUUUAAGGUUUUGUCCUAUGGCUUAGCAGGAGGACCGGGUACCUUUAACGGGGCAAUGACAAAUAUGAUGCAUCCCCUUCUGAGGUUCUGUGUACUAGUGUUCUUUGACGACAUCUUAGUGUUCAGUAAAACCUGGGAAGAACACUUGGACCACGUGCGCCAGGUCCUCACCUUGCUGUGUCGCGACCAAUGGAAAGUCAAGAAGUCUAAGUGUGAAUUUGGACAACAACAUCUGUCUUAUCUAGGGCACGUCAUCAGCUCUCAGGGGGUAGCCACGGAUCCGAGCAAGAUCCAGGCAGUUGAAUCAUGGCAAACACCUAGUGAUGCAAAAGAAGUGCGCCGGUUUCUGGGAUUGGCUGGGUAUUAG
rnacentral:rRNA from 1 species